GCGUGGGUGGCGGAAUUGGCAGACGCGCCAGACUUAGGAUCUGGUGCCCGAAAGGGCGUGUGGGUUCGAGUCCCACCCCGCGUA
rnacentral:tRNA from 1 species